rnacentral:rRNA from 1 species
UACAGAGGUCCCAAGCGUUGUUCGGAUUCACUGGGCGUAAAGGGUGCGUAGGUGGCGGGGUAAGUUUGAUGUGAAAUCUCCGAGCUCAACUCGGAAAUGGCAUUGAAUACUACUCUGCUCGAGGUUUGGAGGGGGGGACUGGAAUUCUCGGUGUAGCAGUGAAAUGCGUAGAUAUCGAGAGGAACACCAGUGGCGAAGGCGAGUCCCUGGACAACACCUGACACUGAGGCACGAAAGCGUGGGGAGCAAACAGG